rnacentral:rRNA from 1 species
CCGGCACGGGUGAGUAACACGUAUGCAAUCCACCUGUAACAGGGGGAUAACCCGGAGAAAUCCGGACUAAUACCCCAUAAUAUGGGCGCUCCGCAUGGAGAGCCCAUUAAAGAGAGCAAUUUUGGUUACAGACGAGCAUGCGCUCCAUUAGCCAGUUGGCGGGGUAACGGCCCACCAAAGCGACGAUGGAUAGGGGUUCUGAGAGGAAGGUCCCCCACAUUGGAACAGAGACACGGUCCAA